CAAAAAAAGCAAACAUAAAGAUGAGUUCAUCUUCAGUACCAUAUUGACAUACACUGAUAAUCAAUAGUAUCUAACUAUGGACACGUGGAAGCCUUUAAACACAGACAUUUUGACAUGAUUUUAUCACAAAGCUUGUUACCUGCCUUGAUGACCUCUUUUCUCUUUUUUAAUCAGAUAAUACCAAAACAACACAAUGGGUAUGUUAAAGCACAUCUGUGUGAAUAGAUUUAUUUUUAUCAAUUAACUGCAUCUUUAAAGACUAAAUCAGUAAAAAAUGCUAAAAGUGUUCUCUUCAAUUUAACCAGUGCCAACAUAGUUGUUUUGGUUUUGUCAGCGUGGAUGCUUGCCAGACCGGUAUCCUUAAUAUCCUUAAUCCUGUUAGGUCCCCGCCAGAUUGGUCAACAAACUGUUUGGACCGCCUUAUCACAGUGGGCUUGGACAGAUUCACACCUCAUUAUGAUCUUGUCAGGGUAUUUUCAGGAUGCCACAUGGAGAUUACUGUGAGUUGAUCAAAGCACCAAUACAGCGCACUUUUUUUUUCAGAGGAAAUCCAACUGCCAACGUGAAAACAGACCCACCCAUUUUAACACACACAUAAAGUGUCCAGUUAACAAAAGUCUAUAUACAUAGUUGGGCAAAAGGAGGAAGUCCAUCUCAGACAGACCCGCCGUAUCCUUAAGAAGGAAGUCAAAUAACAAGCCUGCAGGUCUUAACUGGGAAAAAGAUGGGAAACGAGCAGUCAGUAAACAUAGAAGAGCUAUCCAAGAAUGGGACAAUUCCUGAAAAGCAUGAGAAUGGAACCGUGAAUGGCAUCUCUAUAGAAGUCACGUCUGGCGGACUGGAGAUUAAUGGUAAAAGUGAAACUACAGUCUGCCAAAAUGGCAAGGCCCACUCUUUAAACUCUGCCAUACAAUCAACUGAUGUGAUCGGCAAAUCAGAGUGUCAACCUGAUAUUGUCCAAGAUGUUUCUGAAGCCCCUGACGCCAAAAUCCAAGCUGUUUCUGAAGCCCCUGACGCCAAAAUCCAAGCUGUUUCUGAAGUUCCUGACACCAACACCCAGAAGGAAGAGGUCAAGAAAAGCAAAGGAGAAAAAGGUCGUCAUCAUUUUGGCAAACUGUUCAAAAAGAAAUCAGAACCUAAAGCUGAAGCUGAGACUGUUGAAGAAAAAGAAAAAGAGACACAGAGGGAAGAUCAAACGGAUGUAAGUGUUCCUCCCACUGAGCCACAGCAGGAGACGGCUAACCUAAACCAAGAGCCUGAAUCAUUAAAGGAGCCAGAGAGGGUGACUCCAGUCUCCAGUCCCAAGGAAGAAAACGUUCCUGAAACUGACAACGGAGACAGUGAGGCCGUGGAAAGCAAAGAGGAGAGUAACCCCGAAGAGAAUCCAGUUAUGAACUUCUUCAAAACCCUAGUGACCCCUACUAAAACGUCCAAAAAGGAAACGGCUAUUCCCGAUGCCGCAAAAGUUAAGUCCCAGAAGGAGACCCAACCAGCGGCAACCACUACUGUUGCACAAAUAUCUGAACCGCCUGCAGCACCGAAAGGAAUGUCCGUCCCACCACCCCCACCUCCAGAGCCACCGAAAAUGGAAAUCAAAGGAGAGCCAACUGCCAAACCUGUAAAGGCCUCGGCGAAAGAAGAACCUAAAGCUGCUGAAAAGGAGCCUGUGUCCUCGAAAGGAAAAUCAGCCAAAGAUACUCUGAGCAAAUUAUUCCGCCAGAAGGAGACACCAGUGGAGGUGCCAGCGCCUGUUGUAGAAGUGCAGAUUCAAAAUGAGGUUGAACCUCAGGAGGCAGCAGCAGUGGGGGAAGAGCCCGUUGUAGAAGUGCAGAUAAAGGAAGAGGUACCACAACCAGUGGUAGAAACUGAGAAGGUGGAUUCCUCAAAAGCUGACACCCGGGAGGCUGCUGCAAAACCAGAGCCACCACCACCUGCUCAGGAAGAGAAGAAAAGCGCCUCAAAAUCACCAUUCCUUUCUUUCUUCAAGCCCCAAGUACUAUUAGAUCACAUGACCACAAAAGUCCAGGCAGCCUCCACAAGUGGAAUUCGGUUCCUCAGGAAAACUACUGGACUGGCUGCUGAGCCCAAGAAGGUGACCCCGACCCCACCUGCAGCAGCGGAGGCAGCUCAAGCAGUUAAAGCCAAGGAGGAACCUAAAGUGGCAGCCAAGUCUUCAGAGCAAGCUGCAGAUAACAAACCAGCCUCUGUGCCUUCCCAAGCUGGCGAUGAUGCAGCCAGUGUGCCCAAAAAACUGGAAAAGAGGAACUCCAUUCAGCUAUUCUUUAAAAAUCUGACUCAGAAACGUCCUUCUACAGACGCCGGAGUCCAGACAGAGCCACUGACCGCUGCUCAAGGAGCUGAGAAAGCCAAAUGAGACCAGAAGCAACCCUUACGUUUUCCUGUACAGUCUCCUUCCCUCCUUCUCACUUGUACUCAGUCCUUCUUUUUCUCUCUUAUCGCCUUCUUGAAUCCCCUGAGUUACUUUGACUACUUUGUUUUUUAAUUGUUACUGCUUAAAAGUCACGAUAUCAAAGGUAAGGUUUUGGAAGAGUAAAGGAAAGUGGACAGAACAGUUAGCAGGGAGUUGAACUUGUGGAGAUUUAAAAUGGUCAAAGGUUGUUUGGACAUAUUUUUUUGUCACAUAAAUGUCUUGUCAGCAAUGUGACAUUUUCUACAGACAUUUAAAAUGACUUUUCUCUGUUUUGCAAUCUAACAUACUGGGCUUAUGCAAUAUAUAGUGCCAUGCUUUGCCUUGAACAACUAUUUUGUGUUAAAUCAAUAAAACUCAAUGUCAUAUAGGUUCUAUUUUUACACUUCACACCAGAGAAUUCACACAGUUCAGGUAAUGCAGUGGUUAACAUGAAGUACGUAGAUAUGAGUCAUAGAAAUGCUCUUAAUGGAGCUGGUCUAAGGAGUAUUAAAGUUUAUAUAGCAGAGUGUGCUUACAGAUUUUUGAACUCUAUGCAAGUUAUAUGUGGACUAAAACAAAAAGCUAUCUUUUAGCUUUAAUGGGACAUCACAAUCUCUACUGAUCUUUGGGGAACUGAUUGUAAAUACUCAACAAAUGCUUAAAAAUGCAUCCGAGGUAUUGAAAUGGUGUCUUUGUGCAAAUGUCUCCUUGUGAUAAGCUCUGCAUUACUCAUAAAUCACAACCGAGAAGCUUUUAUUUUGAUUUUAGCACUUUGUCUCGUGUCAACUAACAAGUCUUCCGGUGUAAGUAAACUGUGUCAGGCGUAUGUGCAAUUAAUGUGACGCUUUAGUUUGUCGUUAUGUAGUGUGCAUGUGAAACUUGAGCUAUUCUGAAGACAAUAAAUGCAAAUAAAUAUACCACAUGUCUGUUUUGUUUCAGAGUUUUCAUUUUUAAUGUAAGCUAUAAAAGCAUGGGGAGUGUUAUCAAGAAUAAUUGGGUGUUCCAGCAAUUUUUAAAAAAAAAAGAUGACCAGGCAAGUUUGGCCAAAAAAAAUAAAAGAUGCCUCUAUUGCGUGAGCAGUGUCAUUGCAACCAUUUUUAUGCAUAUAUGAGUGCAGGAAAGGUGUGGCGUAUCACUCUACACCCAUUCCGGGUGUUGAGUCAAAUACUGUAAGUCUGACUCAUGUUCAUAAAGAUGUCUGACAAAUCAUAGGAAAAACCUGAUCCCUUGACCCCUUUGGUGAGAGGAUCUGGUGGUUGCAUGGCAACAUUUUUUGGGUCCACGUGUUCUCAUAUAGGGCAGAGUCAGUGCAAAUCAUUAUAAGAUUAUGGGGAGCCAUCUUAACCCUUUAUUAUGAUGAAAUGCUUCUGUUGGGAGUGGCCUCUUCCAAGAUGGCACCUCGAGCCACAAGUAUGUACAAGAAUUCAAAUCGCAUUCUGUGGCCUUCACAGUCAGCAGAUCAGUUUCCAUUUGAAAGAGUGGUCUAACAUGCUAGACAGCUGGCUAACGUGCUGCCAUGGUCAACAAAACAAGUUAGGGAGUGUUAUUUUUUGGAAAAGGUUUUCCUUUUUUGUUUGUUUUCCUUUAAUUUGUCACCCACUCGUAUAUAUUUGUAAUGCCAGCAAAUAAAUGUCAGUUACCUGGAGAAAAAGCAAAUUAACCAGAGUACAGC
ensembl:lncRNA